GUCUACGGCCAUACCACCCUGAAUGCGCCAGAUCUCGUCUGAUCUCAGAAGCUAAGCAGGGUCGGGCCUGGUUACUACUUGGAUGGGAGAUGGCAUGGGCAUACCGGGUGCUGUAGGCU
rnacentral:rRNA from 1 species